rnacentral:rRNA from 1 species
GCGCUAGCUUCGGUGGAGGCGCUGGUGGGAUACCUGCCCUGAACUGUAUUGAAAUUCUAACCUACGGGUCUUAUCGACCCGGGAGACAGUGUCACGUGGGCAGUUUGACUGGGGCGGUCGCCUCCUAAAGUGUAACGGAGUGCGCCCAAAGGUUCCCUCAGAAUGGUUGGAAAUCAUUCGUAGAGUGCAAAGGCAUAAGGGAGCUUGACUGCGAGACCUACAAGUCGAGCAGGGACGAAAGUCGGGCUUAGUGAUCCGGUGGUUCCGCAUGGAAGGGCCAUCGCUCAACGGAUAAAAGCUACCCCGGGGAUAACAGGCUUAUCUCCCCCAAGAGUCCACAUCGACGGGGAGGUUUGGCACCUCGAUGUCGGCUCAUCGCAUCCUGGGGCUGUAGUCGGUCCCAAGGGUUGGGCUGUUCGCCCAUUAAAGCGGUACGCGAGCUGGGUUCAGAACGUCGUGAGACAGUUCGGUCCCUAUCCGUCGUGGGCGUAGGAAAUUUGAGAGGAGCUGUCCUUAGUACGAGAGGACCGGGAUGGACGCACCGCUGGUGUACCAGUUGUUCUGCCAAGGGCAUAGCUGGGUAGCUAUGUGCGGAAGGGAUAAGUGCUGAAAGCAUCUAAGCAUGAAGCCCCCCUCAAGAUGAGAUUUCCCAUAGCGUAAGCUAGUAAGAUCCCUGAAAGAUGAUCAGGUUGAUAGGUUCGAGGUGGAAGCAUGGUGACAUGUGGAGCUGACGAAUACUAAUAGAUCGAGGACUUAACCACAUAAUAUGUAGCAAUGUUAUCUAGUUUUGAAGGAAUAUGCCUUCAAUAGUUUGGUGAUGAUGGCAGAGAGGUCACACCCGUUCCCAUACCGAACACGGAAGUUAAGCUCUCUAGCGCCGAUGGUAGUUGGGACCUUGUCCCUGUGAGAGUAGGACGUCGCCAAGCAACUAAAACACGAGUCAUUUGACUCGUGUUUUUUUGUAUUGUUAAAAAGAAUGGGAAAGAAGUAAUUGUAAUACAAACACGUUGCCCAAGAGUUAAUCAUAUUAUAUAAGAGAUGGGUGUAUAUUUUUCUGGAAAUUGUUAAGGAUUAGAAGUAUAAAAUAGGUUCACUUAAAUAGGGAGGGAAGGUUAUGAAAUUACAAAGUGAAGUUUGUAUUGUUUGUGAGACAAAAAGAAAAGAAGGUAUAUAUGUUUAUAAUAAUUUAAUAUGUUAUGAAUGUGAAAAGGAUAUGGUGAACACAGAGACAGAUGAUCCAAAAUAUAUACAUUAUUUAAAGCAACUUCGAAAAUUAGAAGUAUCAUAUUUUUAAAUAGGCAUAUGCCUAUUAUUUUUUUUGUUCUGUAUAAUAGAUGGAGAAUGAAUUAUAAGGAAGAGAUGUAGAUGAAUCAAAAUCAUAUGCCUUUAUAUGAGGCGUUAAUAGAGUUUAAAGAAAGAGGGUCGUUAUCUUUUCAUGUUCCAGGUCAUAAGAAUGGUUUAAACUUCCCUCAGAAGGCAAUAAGAGAGUUUAAAGAUAUUCUAUCUAUUGAUGUAACUGAGUUAGCAGGACUGGAUGAUUUGCAUAGUCCGUUUGAAUGUAUAGAUGAGGCACAACAAUUAUUGACUGAAGUGUAUGAUACAAAGAGAAGUUAUUUUUUAAUUAAUGGUUCAACAGUCGGGAACUUAGCAAUGAUUUUGUCUUGUUGCAGGGAACAUGAUAUUGUUCUUGUACAAAGAAAUUGUCAUAAAUCAAUUAUUAAUGGUUUAAAACUAGCGGGAGCAAAUCCCAUUUUUUUAGAUCCAUGGAUUGAUGAAGCUUAUAACGUACCAGUGGGAGUUCGUAAUGAAAUUAUUAAGAAAGCAAUUGGAAAAUAUCCAAAUGCGAAAGCACUCAUUUUAACGCAUCCUAAUUAUUAUGGUAUGGGGAUGGAUUUAGAGGCAAGCAUCGCUUUUGCACAUGCACAUAAAAUCCCUGUUUUGGUAGAUGAGGCACAUGGGGCACAUCUUUGUUUGGGAGAACCAUUCCCAAAAUCAGCGUUAACAUAUGGUGCAGAUAUUGUAGUUCAUUCUGCACAUAAAACAUUACCCGCAAUGACAAUGGGUUCCUAUUUACAUAUAAAUAGUCACUUAGUAGACGAAGAGAAGGUUACUACUUAUUUAAGUAUGCUACAAUCUAGUAGUCCAUCGUAUCCAAUUAUGGCUUCCUUGGAUAUAGCACGCUUUACAAUGGCGCGUAUAAAAGAAGAAGGACAUGGUGAAAUUGUUGAGUUUUUACGGAGAUUUAAGGAACAGUUACGUUCUAUUCCACAAAUCGCCAUUUUAGAAUAUCCGUUGCAAGACGAGCUAAAGGUUACCGUACAAACUCGUUGUCAGUUAUCAGGGUACGAAUUACAGUCCGUAUUUGAAAAUGUCGGUAUAUAUACAGAGAUGGCUGAUCCGUACAAUGUCCUAUUUAUUUUACCCCUGCAAGUAAAUGAGGAGUAUAUGAAGGUUAUAGAGAUGAUCCGAGUAGCAUUGCAACAUUAUGACGUGAAAGACAAGAGGGAAUCUAUUCGUUAUACUUAUAAAGGUGAAUUCUCUCCUUUGCCGUAUACGUAUAAACAACUAGAAGGAUAUGGAACAAAGAUAGUAUCUAUAGAAGAGGCUGUUGGAAUGAUAGCGGCGGAAAUGGUAAUUCCGUAUCCACCUGGAAUUCCAUUGGUUAUGUAUGGAGAGAGAAUUACUUCAGAGCAUAAAGAGCAAAUUAUGUAUUUAGAGAGAGCAGGAGCUCGUUUUCAAGGUAAUACGAAAUAUAUGAAAGUGUAUGAUAUAGAAAGUA